rnacentral:rRNA from 1 species
AUUGAACGCUGGCGGCAGGCCUAACACAUGCAAGUCGAGCGGAUGAAGGCAGCUUUCUCCUGGAUUCAGCGGCGGACGGGUGAGUAAUGCCUAGGAAUCUGCCUGGUAUUGGGGGAUAACGUCCGGAAACGGGCGCUAAUACCGCAUACGUCCUGAUGGAGAAAGUGGGGGAUCUUCGGACCUCACGCUAUCAGAUGAGCCUAGGUCGGAUUAGCUAGUUGGUGGGGUAAAGGCCUACCAAGGCGACGAUCCGUAACUGGUCUGAGAGGAUGAUCAGUCACCUUGGAAGGUGGACAGGGUCCAGACGACUACGGGACGCAGCAGUGGGGAAUAUUGGACAAUGGGCGAAAGCCUGAUCCAGCCAUGCCGCGUGUGUGACGAAGGUGUUGGGAUUGUAAAGCCCUUUAACUUGGGAUGAAGGGCAGUAAGUUAAGACCUUGCUGUUUUGACGUUACUAACAGGAUAAGCACCGGCUAACUUCGUG